AGAAACAAAUUCUAACUAUUAAAAGCCGCCUUGACUCGUCUUUCCGCUGUUCCAACAAUCACAACUGUGGUUUGG